rnacentral:rRNA from 1 species
GUGGGGAAUAUUGGACAAUGGGCGAAAGCCUGAUCCAGCCAUGCCGCGUGAGUGAUGAAGGCCUUAGGGUUGUAAAGCUCUUUCAGUAGGGAAGAUAAUGACGGUACCUACAGAAGAAGCCCCGGCUAACUUCGUGCCAGCAGCCGCGGUAAUACGAAGGGGGCUAGCGUUGUUCGGAUUUACUGGGCGUAAAGCGCACGUAGGCGGAUUGGUCAGUUAGAGGUGAAAUCCUGGAGCUCAACUCCAGAACUGCCUUUAAUACUGCCAGUCUAGAGUCCAGAAGAGGUGAGUGGAACUCCUAGUGUAGAGGUGGAAUUCGUAGAUAUUAGGAAGAACACCAGUGGCGAAGGCGGCUCACUGGUCUGGUACUGACGCUGAGGUGCGAAAGCGUGGGGAGCAAACAGGAUUAGAAACCCUGGUAGUCC